GGGAACUGGCUGGCACACAGUGGAUCGCUUCCUUAGCCGUCUCCUGGUAAUCCCCGGGAAUAUGUCUUCACACCUAGAAGUCAGACCAUCCUGGGUUGCUGAGAUGCAGGUGCUGGCCCAGCAGCUUCACAGUGUCCAUCUUAGGCUUUUUCUAGGAAAAAAACAAUGUUGUGCAUGAACCUCCAUUGUAUUUGCUUUUAUUUGUAGCACACAUAUGUAUAACACCUAAAACAUGAUGCUGGAAAUAAACAUCUGUAUUAGAAACUUCUAAA
rnacentral:lncRNA from 1 species